GAAAUGCGAUAAGUAAUGUGAAUUGCAGAAUUCAGUGAAUCAUCGAAUCUUUGAACGCACAUUGCGCCCGCCAGUAUUCUGGCGGGCAUGCCUGUCCGAGCGUCAUUUCAACCAUCAAGCCCCCGGGCUUGUGUUGGGGACCUGCGGCUGCCCGCAGGCCCUGAAAACCAGUGGCGGGCUCGCUGUCACACCGAGCGUAGUAGCAAUCACCUCGCUCAGGGCGUGCGGGUUCCGGCCGUUAAACAGCCUUACAAAACCCAAGGUUGACCUCGGAUCAGGUAGGAAGACCCGCUGAACUUAAGC
rnacentral:misc_RNA from 1 species